CGCCUCCUGCAAAUAGAAUGUAUUGGAGGUCCUGCCUGCCCAGUGACAAUAGGUUCAACGGCCGCGGUAUUUUGACCGUGCAAAGGUAGCGUAAUCACCUGUCUUUUAAAUAAAGACCUGUAUGAAUGGCAAGACGAGGGUUUUACUGUCUCCUCCCCCCAGUCAAUGAAAUUGAUCUACCCGUGCAGAAGCGGGUAUAAAAACAUAAGACGAGAAGACCCUAUGGAGCUUUAGGCACACAUCAAAUAUGUAAAAAACCAAAUCUUCCAAAUAGGCCUAAAAAAUGAGAAAAACAAGUAUUAAUGAUUAAUUGCCUUCGGUUGGGGCGACCACGGGGAAAAAUAAAACCCCCACAUGGAAUGGGUAAAAUUAUCCUAAGCCAAGAAAAACAAUUCUAAGCAACAAAAUUUUUGACCAAUAAACGACCCAGGGAUAACAUCCCUGAGCAAUGAACCAAGUUACCCUAGGGAUAACAGCGCAAUCCUUUCCCAGAGCCCAUAUCAACGAAAGGGUUUACGACCUCGAUGUUGGAUCAGGGCAUCCUAACGGUGCAGCCGCUGUUAAGGGUUCGUUUGUUCAACGAUUAAUAGCCCU
rnacentral:rRNA from 1 species